rnacentral:rRNA from 1 species
UACGAAGGGGGCUAGCGUUGCUCGGAAUCACUGGGCGUAAAGCGCACGUAGGCGGACUCUUAAGUCGGUGGUGAAAUCCUGGAGCUCAACUCCAGAACUGCCUUCGAUACUGAGAGUCUCGAGUCCGGGAGAGGUGAGUGGAACUGCGAGUGUAGAGGUGAAAUUCGUAGAUAUCAAGCGGAACACCGGUGGCGAAGGCGGCCUUCUGGACAGUGACUGACGCUGAGACGCGAAAGCGUGGGGAGCAAACAGG